rnacentral:rRNA from 1 species
CCUACGGGUGGCAGCAGUGGGGCAUAUUGCACAAUGGGGGAAACCCUGAUGCAGCAACGCCGCGUGAGUGAAGAAGGUUUUCGGAUUGUAAAGCUCUGUUAGCAGGGAAGAGGAAGGACGGUACCUGCAGAGGAAGCCACGGCUAACUACGUGCCAGCAGCCGCGGUAAUAAGCAGGUGGCAAGCGUUGUUCGGAAAAACUGGGCGUAAAGGAUGCGUAGGCGGUUAAACAAGUUGUAUGUUAAAUAUAUAGGCUUAACCUGUAGAAAGCAUAUAAAACUGGUUGACUAGAGUGCAGGAGAGGGAAGUGGAAGUCCUGGUGUAGCAGUGAAAUGCGUAGAGAUUAGGAAGAACACCAGUGGCGAAGGCGGCUGACUGGACUGUAACUGACGCUGAGGCAUGAAAGCAUGGGGAGCAAACAGGAUUAGAUACCCCUGUAGUC